AAACAUCGCCUCUUGACACAAUAUAAGAGGCCCAGCCUGCCCGGUGACAAAGUUUAACGGCUACGGUACCCUGACCGUACAAAGGUAGCAUAAUCACUUGUUCCUUAAAUAGGGACCUGUAUCAACGGCAUCACGAGGGCUGCACUGUCUCCUCUCUUCAAUCAGUGAAACUGAUCCCCCCGUGAAGAAGCGGGGAUUAAGCCAUAAGACGAGAAGACCCCAUGGAGCUUUAAACACGUGCUCACACUAUACUUAUACGCCCCUUAACUAAAAGCCCUGAGUACAAGUUUUAGGUUGGGGAAACCGCGGAGAACAACAAAACCUCCACGACAAACGGCCCUAAGUCCUUAUCCACGAGCCACAGCUCUAAGAAUCAGUAUACUGAUGUUUAUGACCCGAUACUAUUCGAUUAACGAACCAAGUUACCCUGGGGAUAACAGCGCAAUCUACUUCAAGAGUCCAUAUCGACAAGUAGGUUUACGACCUCGAUGUUGGAUCAGGGUAUCCCUGUGGUGCAGCAGCUACUAACGGUUCGUUUGUUCAACGAUUAAAACCCUACGUGAUCUG
rnacentral:rRNA from 1 species